CCUGUGUGUGCACAUGGAGAAGAGGGAGGGGUGGGUCUAAUUUGCAUGAGCAGCCCCUCCUCUGUGACCCUGUGGACAGGGGAUAAGACAGGCCAGGGGCAGUCCAGCCCCAGCUCUGUGGCCUAAGAAGGGCGUCUCUGUGUGUCACCAUGGCCUGGAUCCCCAUCCUCCUCAUGCUCCUCUGUCACUGCACAGGUUCCCUGUCCCAGCCUGUCGUGACUCAGCCAGCCUCCGUCUCUGCAUCUCUGGGAGCCACAGCCAGACUCACCUGCACCCUGAGCAGGGACAUCAAUGUUGGAAGCUAUAACAUAUAUUGGUACCAACAGAAUCCAGGGAGCCCUCCCCGGUAUCUCCUGUACUACUACUCCAACUCAGAUAAGCACCAGGGCCCUGGGGUUUCCAGCCGCUUCUCUGGGUCCAAAGAUGCCUCGGCCAAGGCAGGGCUUCUGCUCCUCUCUGGGCCGUAGCCUGAGGACGAGGCUGACUCUUCCUGUGCUACAGCUCAUGGCAGUGGGAGAAGCUUUGGCUACUCACAGUGACUCAGAUAUGGAGAAAGUGAGUCAUAAACCCCUGGGUCCACAGACCUUGUGUCUGAGCCUCUGUUAUUGGGAAGCUUCUGUGAGGCUCCUGUGGGGGAGACACCUCUAUGGUGAGAGCUGUCCUUGAGGAGGAAGGACGGACACACAGAUGAUGCUCUUGCCUGAGACAGCACACGUGUCCCAGGAGCCCACGUGAAUCAGG